UACGUAGGGACCAAGCGUUGUCCGGAUUUACUGGGCGUAAAGGGCGCGUAGGCGGCGCGGUAAGUCACUUGUGAAAUCUCUGAGCUUAACUCAGAACGGCCAAGUGAUACUGCAGUGCUAGAGUGUGGAAGGGGCAAUCGGAAUUCUUGGUGUAGCGGUGAAAUGCGUAGAUAUCAAGAGGAACACCUGAGGUGAAGACGGGUUGCUGGGCCAACACUGACGCUGAGGCGCGAAAGCCAGGGGAGCAAACGGG
rnacentral:rRNA from 1 species